GAUGAACGCUGGCGGCGUGCCUAAUACAUGCAAGUCGAGCGAACAGACGAGGAGCUUGCUCCUCUGACGUUAGCGGCGGACGGGUGAGUAACACGUGGAUAACCUACCUAUAAGACUGGGAUAACUUCGGGAAACCGGAGCUAAUACCGGAUAAUAUAUUGAACCGCAUGGUUCAAUAGUGAAAGACGGUUUUGCUGUCACUUAUAGAUGGAUCCGCGCCGCAUUAGCUAGUUGGUAAGGUAACGGCUUACCAAGGCAACGAUGCGUAGCCGACCUGAGAGGGUGAUCGGCCACACUGGAACUGAGACACGGUCCAGACUCCUACGGGAGGCAGCAGUAGGGAAUCGUCCGCAAUGGGCGAAAGCCUGACGGAGCAACGCCGCGUGAGUGAUGAAGGUCUUCGGAUCGUAAAACUCUGUUAUUAGGGAAGAACAGAUGUGUAAGUAACUAUGCACGUCUUGACGGUACCUAAUCAGAAAGCCACGGCUAACUACGUG
rnacentral:rRNA from 1 species